GUGGGGAAUAUUGGACAAUGGCCGGAAGGCUGAUCCAGCCAUGCCGCGUGCGGGAAGACGGCCCUAUGGGUUGUAAACCGCUUUUGCGAGGGAGCAAUAAGAGCAACGAGUUGCGCGAUGAGAGUACCUCGCGAAUAAGCAUCGGCUAACUCCGUGCCAGCAGCCGCGGUAAUACGGAGGAUGCAAGCGUUAUCCGGAUUUAUUGGGUUUAAAGGGUGCGCAGGCGGCUUGUUAAGCGGGAGGUGAAAUGCCGGCGCUCAACGUCGGAAGUGCCUCCCGAACUGGUGAGCUAGAAUGACUCUGCCGUGGGAGGAAUGUGUAGUGUAGCGGUGAAAUGCUUAGAGAUUACACAGAACACCGAUUGCGAAGGCAUCUCACGAAGGGUUGAUUGACGCUGAGGCACGAAAGCGUGGGGAUCAAACAGG
rnacentral:rRNA from 1 species